GAGGUGAGGGGUGGUGGCCCAGAGGUCCGACCUGGGAGGCUGGGGCUCAGAGAGUGAGUAGGGGAGGGACGGGAUUUCCACCGUCAGCCCCUCUGGGUUACGCAUGGAGGAAGGAGUUCCAUUCAGAUCUCACUCCUGCUCUGGGGAAGUGGCAGGAGUCCUGGACUUAGGGUGACCAACUCGUUUUAGUUUUAAAACUUAAGGUCCGGCGUCCUGGGAACUCCCUCGGGCCUGGCCAAACCAGGACGAUUGGUCACCGCCCGACUGGGCUUCAGGCUUGCUGCAUGUUGGAGACAGGGCUCUUCUCUGAGCCUUGGGAGAUCAGUCCCUAAAGAGGAGGCCUUAGGAUGUAGCGGUCCAGAGCACAUACUUAGGAUCAGAAUAACUACUGCGUGUGAAUCUGGGUUGCCACUACCUGGAUGUGGGAUGACCUGGUGCAAUGUUUGCUGUCUUCCAUUGGAGUGACUGAAUUUCUACAUGACGGCUUUUUGACAAGACUUAAAACCUGUCUUGGAUAGAGAAUAUUUAGCCAUUUACCUAAAAAUGGUAUUUUUUACAUGCAAUGCAUGUGGUGAAUCAGUGAAGAAAAUACAAGUGGAAAAGCAUGUGUCUGUUUGCAGAAACUGUGAAUGCCUUUCUUGCAUUGACUGCGGUAAAGAUUUCUGGGGCGAUGACUAUAAAAACCACGUGAAAUGCAUAAGUGAAGAUCAGAAGUAUGGUGGCAAAGGCUAUGAAGGUAAAACCCACAAAGGCGACAUCAAACAGCAGGCGUGGAUUCAG
rnacentral:lncRNA from 1 species